rnacentral:rRNA from 2 species
AAGAUUAAGCCAUGCAAGUCUAAGUAUAAGCAACUAUACGGUGAAACUGCGAAUGGCUCAUUAAAUCAGUUAUCGUUUAUUUGAUAGUACCUUACUACAUGGAUAACCGUGGUAAUUCUAGAGCUAAUACAUGCUAAAAACCCCGACUUCGGAAGGGGUGUAUUUAUUAGAUAAAAAACCAAUGCCCUUCGGGGCUCCUUGGUGAAUCAUAAUAACCUAACGAAUCGCAUGGCCUUGCGCCGGCGAUGGUUCAUUCAAAUUUCUGCCCUAUCAACUUUCGAUGGUAGGAUAGUGGCCUACCAUGGUAUCAACGGGUAACGGGGAAUUAGGGUUCUAUUCCGGAGAGGGAGCCUGAGAAACGGCUACCACAUCCAAGGAAGGCAGCAGGCGCGCAAAUUACCCAAUCCCGACACGGGGAGGUAGUGACAAUAAAUACUGAUACAGGGCUCUUUUGGGUCUUGUAAUUGGAAUGAGUACAAUUUAAAUCCCUUAACGAGGAACAAUUGGAGGGCAAGUCUGGUGCCAGCAGCCGCGGUAAUUCCAGCUCCAAUAGCGUAUAUUAAAGUUGUUGCAGUUAAAAAGCUCGUAGUUGAACCUUGGGUCUGGCUGGCCGGUCCGCCUCACCGCGUGUACUGGUCCGGCCGGGCCUUUCCUUCUGGGGAGCCGCAUGCCCUUCACUGGGCGUGUCGGGGAACCAGGACUUUUACUUUGAAAAAAUUAGAGUGUUCAAAGCAGGCCUUUGCUCGAAUACAUUAGCAUGGAAUAAUAGAAUAGGACGUGCGGUUCUAUUUUGUUGGUUUCUAGGACCGCCGUAAUGAUUAAUAGGGAUAGUCGGGGGCAUCAGUAUUCAAUUGUCAGAGGUGAAAUUCUUGGAUUUAUUGAAGACUAACUACUGCGAAAGCAUUUGCCAAGGAUGUUUUCAUUAAUCAGUGAACGAAAGUUAGGGGAUCGAAGACGAUCAGAUACCGUCGUAGUCUUAACCAUAAACUAUGCCGACUAGGGAUCGGUGGAUGUUACUAUUAUGACUCCAUCGGCACCUUACGAGAAAUCAAAGUUUUUGGGUUCUGGG